rnacentral:rRNA from 1 species
UACGUAGGGGGCAAGCGUUAUCCGGAUUCAUUGGGCGUAAAGCGCUCGUAGGCGGUCCGUUUGGUCGGGAGUCAAAUCCCGGGGCUCAACCCCGGCUCGCUCCCGAUACCGGCGGACUUGAGUUUGGUAGGGGAAGGUGGAAUUCCCAGUGUAGCGGUGGAAUGCGCAGAUAUUGGGAAGAACACCGGUGGCGAAGGCGGCCUUCUGGGCCAUAACUGACGCUGAGGAGCGAAAGCUAGGGGAGCGAACAGGAUUAGAUACCCCGGUAGUCCCUGAGCGGGCUGGCAAGG